AACGAACGCUGGCGGCAGGCCUAACACAUGCAAGUCGAACGAACCUUCGGGUGAGUGGCGCACGGGUGCGUAACACGUGGGAAUAUACAUUUCGGUAAGGAAUAACACAGAGAAAUUUGUGCUAAUACCUUAUAAUGACUCCGGUCCAAAGAUUUAUCGCCGAAAGAUUAGCCCGCGCUAGAUUAGGUAGUUGGUAGGGUAAGAGCCUACCAAGCCUACGAUCUAUAGCUGGUCUUAGAGGAUGAUCAGCCACACUGGAACUGAGACACGGUCCAG
rnacentral:rRNA from 1 species